rnacentral:sRNA from 1 species
UAACAGAGAUGAAAAUACAGUUGUCGAC